CACUGCGUGAAUCUGUCAAAGUAAGAACGGAACAACGGGAUAUCUCCACGUAACGCGUGUGUGCGUUUCUACAGUUUUCUCGUUUUAUUUAAUUAAAUAAUAUUAUUCCGGCGGCGAUGAUUGCGUAGAAAAAUCGCCACAUAAUAGGAGUAUACAUUUUAGGCAUUAAAUAUAAAAAAUCGGCCAGUAUGAAGAGUUGGGGUCUUCUUCUGGUCGCUGCUUUAGCGUUAAGUGGCAGUUAUGCGGUGGAUAGGAAUAAUUUUAAGACUUGCGACCAGUCUGGUUUCUGCAAGCGGUUGCGGGGUUUUAAGCCAGAGAAGUCGGAGUAUAGUCUUAAUUUAGACACUGUAUUAGUACACGGAAAUGUAUUAUCGGCUGAAGUUGACACUGUGGACACUACGGCCCAGGAAAGGAAAGUUUUGUGGCACUAUGCUAUGAGAUUGUCAGCCCUGGUGGAUGGCACCUUCAGGGUGGAAAUAGAUGAGGUGGAUCCUCUGUAUCCGAGGUACAGGACUCAACUUGCACUCGAUGGAGAACCUAAGGCUGAUGGUCUAAAACUCCUUUCAAAUGAAAAUGGAAAGCUGACCCUUAUGAACAGCCAAGGACAUAAAGUGGUGAUAAGAGCAACACCACUGAAGAUAGAGUUCCUGAACAAGGCCGGAGACGUGGCAGUGGUGCUGAACGACAACGCUCAGCUGGUGGUGGAGCCGCUCCGAGUUAAAAAGGAAAGGAUUGAUGAUGAGGAUGGGAACGCUGUCGAAGUUGAGGAAGAAGGUACUUGGGGCGAGAGUUUCAAGUCCCACCACGACAGCAAGCCUCGCGGUAACGAAGCCGUGUCCCUCGACUUCAGCUUCCCAGACGCUGAUAAUGUUUAUGGUAUUCCGGAGCACACGGAUAAGUUCGCCCUGAAGACGACCACCUCAGGCGAGCCCUACCGUCUGUUCAACCUGGACGUGUUCGAGUACGAGCUGGACAGCCGCAUGGCUCUCUAUGGAGCCGUCCCCGUAAUGUAUUCUCAUGGGCCGAAGCACAGCGCCGGUGUGUUCUGGCACAACUCGGCCGAGACGUGGGUGGACGUGGUGAACUACGCCGACAGUACCGUGGUCUCCUCGCUCGUCAACCUGGUCACCGGGGGACAGAAGCGCCGUGUCGAUGCCAGGUUCAUAAGUGAGUCGGGCAUAGUGGAUGUGUUCGUGUUCCUGGGCGAGAAGCCGGCGGACGUGUUCCGUCAGUACGCCAUGUUGACUGGACCUGCGCCGCUACCUCCUAAAUUCUCGCUGGCGUACCACCAGUGCCGCUGGAACUAUGUGGACGAGGCGGACGUGCGCUCCGUGGACAACGGGUUCGACGAACACGACAUACCCGCCGACGUCAUCUGGCUAGACAUCGAGUACACUGACAGGAAGAAGUACUUCACAUGGGACGCCCUUAAGUUCCCGAAUCCCGCGGAGAUGGUCGCCAACCUGACAUCUAAAGGUCGGAAACUGGUCACUAUCAUAGAUCCCCACGUGAAGAGAGAGGCUGGUUACUUCCUGCAUGAAGACGCUACUGACUUAGGAUACUAUGUUAAGGACAAAGAGGGAAAAGAUUAUGAAGGUUGGUGCUGGCCGGGUUCCUCGUCGUACCUGGACUUCUUCAACCCGGUCGUAAGCAAGUACUACGCGGAGAGGUAUUCCUUCGACAACUUCCCCGGAACGAGCAAGGAUGUACACAUUUGGAACGACAUGAAUGAGCCUAGUGUAUUCAACGGGCCGGAGAUCACGAUGCCGAAGGACUGUCGCCACUACAAGCCCCCCCAGGACGGGAACGAUGGACUCGCUGCCUUCUGGGAACACAGACACGUCCACAACGAGUAUGGCCUAUGGAACAUCCGCGCCACCCACGACGGUAUGCUGCAACGCGCCGACAACAAGUACCGACCCUUCAUACUCACGCGCUCCGCAUUCGCCGGUACUCAGAGAUACGCGGCAGUAUGGACGGGCGACAACAUGGCGGAGUGGGGCUUCCUGGCGGUGAGCGUGCCCAUGUGCCUGUCGCUGGCCUCCGCCGGGAUCAGCUUCUGCGGCUCCGACGUCGGAGGGUUCUUCAAAUACCCUGAGGCAGAGCUCAUGACGAGGUGGUACCAGGCGGGAGCGUUCCAACCGUUCUUCCGCGCGCACUCUCACAUCGAGACGAAGCGCCGCGAGCCGUGGCUGUACGAGCCGGCUACAACAGCGCUGCUGCGAGACGCUACGCGCAGGAGAUACGCGCUCAUCGACUUCUGGUACACGCUGUUCUACGAGCACUCAGUGGACGGUCUACCGGUGAUGCGCGCGCUGUUCCAAGAGUAUCCCAACGAGGAAGAUACAUACACCAUCGAUGAUCAGUACCUGCUCGGAAACAAACUCCUGGUCCGUCCAGUAGUGGAGCCGGGAGUGAGCAAUGUGAAGGUGUACCUGCCCGGGGCGGCAACCCGCACCCUCUGGUACGACGUCGACACGUACCACGCGUACCCAGCCAACGGAUACCUCACAUUCGAUGUUACGCUCUCUAAAAUCCCAGUGUUCCAGCGCGGCGGCAGUAUAGUACUGCGCAAGGAGCGCGUGCGGCGCUCGUCCGCGCUCAUGGCCGACGACCCGUACACCAUCGUCGUCGCACUCGACGCCAACGGCACAUCAGAAGGCUCGCUGUACAUAGACGACGGCGAGACGUACGACUACAGGAACAACAAGUACAUCUACGCCAAGCUGGCGUACGAAACCGGCUCUAUGACUUACUCCUUCGUGAACGAGAAAGCGAGCUACCCAACUCGGUCGUGGGUGGAGCGUAUAGUCAUUGCGGGCAUCAAGAACCCCCCCAAGACGGCCAAGUUGGUGCAGGGGGACAAACAGACAUCGUUACAGAUGACGCUACACAAGGGCAACGAUGUACUCGUCGUCCGCAAGCCGGCCGCCAGCAUGGCCCAGCCUUGGAAAAUCAUCUUUAGCUAUUAAGAUUUUAGGUAGAAAAUGAGUUGUUGCUACUAACCGGCGAGGUAAGACACUUACUUUCUAGACCGUAUACGUACGUUGGAAAAUCAUCUUUAACUAUUAAGAUUUUAUGUUGAAAAUGAGUUGUUGCGCUUACUUUUAUUUAAUGUCGAAUAUCUGUCGUGGUAUGAUGUACUAAAGUUCUAAAUUCUUCCACUAAAGUAGGAGUAAUCAUCACAAGAGUUCUACAGAUAAUAAGACACGUACUUUCGAAUAAUACCGAACACGUACUUUGGAAAAUCAUCUUUAAGUAUUAAGAUUUUAUGUUGAAAAUGAGUUGUUGCGCUUACUUUUAUUUAAUGUCGAAUAUCUGUCGUGGUAUGAUGUACUAAAGUUUUAAAUUCUUCCACUAAAGUAGGAGUAAUCAUCACAAGAGUUCUACAGAUAAAGUUCUAGAUAUAGAACCUAUAGGCUUGCUUACUUUGUACUACUGCCAUGACUGUUUAUACAAGGCUAUUAUCAAAAUCUGAUCAUCCGUUUAGGAGAUGAAUACCACAGACAGACGUAAGUACAAAGUAAUCGAAACGAGACCGCGUUCGCUCUGAUUGGUUCGUUUAUUGGAGUCGGCCAAUCAGAGCGCCGAACGCGCUCUCGUUUCAAUUACUAAACGUAAAGCAAACUCGUACUAAGGGUACUGAUACCUAAGCAUGUUUAAAUUAUAACUCUUUUUACCUUUUUAAAUUUUAUAAAAUACUAGCGGACCCGACAGACGUUGUCCUGUCUACACGUCUUUAAUUUGAAAAUUUCCAAAAUCAACAACUACUAAUAAAUUAAAAAAACAUUGUCCAGCGGACAAAAUUGUGAAUCUAAACCAUUCUCAGAUCCCCUUGAACACACACAAAAAAUUUCAUCAAAAUCGGUCCAGUCGUUUAAGAGAAGUUCAGUGACAUACACACUUACAGAAGAAUUAUAUAUAUAAAGAUAGUCAUGAUAAUGUCUAAACCAAAGCCGGUAAGUAGCAACUAAAAUAAAAAAAAAACUCAAACAAAUAGGUUUAUUUAUUUUUCGAGUAAAUGGUUCGUUUCUGAUGUACUACAACUAUGCUACGUAUUAGUCAUACUAGUGUGUGGACUUUAAAUGUCAUGGAAUUACCCGACUGUACCGAAAGGAGGGUUAUGUGUUUCAAGUGAGAUGUACGUAACGUUUACUCGUUGGUUUAUUAGUAGAAAUGUUCUAUUUUCAUUGUAUUUUUAAAUUUUGGAUUGCUAUUCUUUAUGACGUAACUGUGUCAACUGAUUAAUAUGUGCUCGUUUUCAACAAUCACCCCCUAAACCAUCUCUUAUCUAAGAGUUACUUAGCAUCUAAACUAACCCUUAUUUGUACUGUUCGGUGUCACUUAAAGAUUGGUGAAAACCAGUGUCGGUAAAAGUCACCUAUCUUGACUUAGGGGUCUCCUUAAAUUUAGGGGAGGCUGGUGGAAAUGCGCAUUGGAAACAUGAUAUUAUUUAAAAGCUUAACCUAAUAUUUUUAAAUACAGUCAAAAUAUAAUUUUAAACACAUUGUUUCAUUCAGACACUGUUUUAAGCAAUGAAAUAAACUGUGAUUGUUAUUUAUAUACUUAAUAUUAAAAGUAUAUAAAGAAAAUUUGGUAAAUAAAUGUAUAAAGGAACAGUGUCGAAGUGAAUACAACUCUAUAUCAAGGCAGUAAGGACUAGAUUUCAGUGUAGGAACUCAGUGAUCAAUCAUUUCUAGUUACACAAACUUAUACCUACUGGUAUUUGUGUACUAUAGAAGUUAAAUUGAACUUUAACUUUUGCGAAAUAUGGUAUAAUUUCAUAUGUAUGCAUACUGUUAGGAAAACACCGUACAUAUUUCUUUAGAGGUUCUUCAAAAAAGUAUUGCUCGUUUUGAAAGACUCUGUGAAGUCUUGUAGUGUAUUAAUGUGCUAUAAAGAGAUAUACUCUUUCACCAAGUAAGACUAUGAACAUUGACAAAACAUACAUAUGUUAAAAUCACACUUUUAUUGUAUAUGAGCAUAGAUAGCAAUUACAAAGAUUUUCUUACAUAUUUCUUGUGUUCCUUUGUUACUAAUUAAUAAAACUUAAAAAAAAGGGAUAGCGUCCGUCAAAAGCAUAAAUACAUUUAUAGUCAAACUGAGAACCUUUUUUUGAAGUUGGUUAAAAAGUAGGUAGUAUAUAUUAUUAAGAUCUUUUUUUCAAUACGUACGGUGUUUUAAAGUAUGCCUAUGUAUGUACUAUCUACCUAUAUCAUAUAUCUGAAGGUACGUUUGUGUAACAGAACUCCCAAAUAGUUGUAAUCAUUAGUACAUCUAGAGUAUGAUAAUCGCUCCGUAAGAUUAUAAGUACCUAAUACAUUUUUUAAAAUAAAAUAAUUAAAAUUAUACAAUUGCAAUUGUAUUUUACUCAUCCCUAAAAAUACUGUAAAGUAUUUCUCUCUGUAUUUUAUGAAUUAUAGUUAUAUAAUGUGUGACCAGUAUGUAUUAUUCCAUGUUGUAGAUAUAAAAUCGUAUUGAACUAUGUAUUGUCCGUUGGUUAGAUAAACUUCGCAAUUCAGUAACGGGUAAGGUAUUGAAGAAUUCUAUUGUAUGUAUGUGAUAAUAAAAUACAUUUUAAUUA